CGGGGAAGUCCUGCUGCCAGGACUGGCCGCUCCUCCUGCACUAAACGCUCCGCACCUCCGCCAAACUCACUCCCCUCUUCAAAGCCCUGUAAUAAUGAUAAGCAGCUCCUUAAUGAGGAGGGAGACACCAGGACCUUCUUUCUCAUUCAGAGUGGCCCCGGGCGAAACGAGAGAACUCAACACAGCAGAGAAGUUCCUGAUGGAUGUGGACCAUCCCCCUCCUGCCCCAACACCCCAGCACAUUUUCUACGAGUGUUUCAUGCCCCUCGCAAGCUGAGCUGUUCCAACUGAUUCAUGAAAAAUACAAGCUACAUUAACACUAUGAAGCCUUCUUACCAGAGCAUAAAAAGUUGGAGUUAAAAACAUUGUGUUAAUUGGUUAACUUAAUGGUGUCAAAUGCCAUGAUGUUUUUUCUCUUAAAUAAUUUGAAUCAUUAAAACGCCGAUAUCCUUUUAAUGGCUCUCUUUCAUUCUAGAACAUCUGAUAUCUGUUUCAGACCAAUUCAUCCAGUUUGUGAAAUCGCAACUGCAGUUUAGUCUUAGGUUUCAGGUUUGUUUAUAGAGUACAGAUACAGUAGCCAACUGACAAUAGACAUUUUACUUAUCGCAGGACUUCUUUCUCUUAACAGUAACAGUGGAGGAGUCAGAAUAGAUGAGUUUCAGUUACCAAAACACAUGUUUUUAAAUGUCAAAUUAGUAAAUAGCCAGAUUGUUUUGUAUUUAAGAAAGAAACGCUAAUCACGCGUUUUAUGAGCAAGGCCUGUCCUCUUUUUGGACCGUUUCCUCCCUCUGACAAGUUAACUCUCGCAAAUCCCACAGGAAAAAAAGGGUUGUGUCUAUGUAAAGACAAUUAAGCCUGACUCCCUCUGAUUACAUCCCUUGGCUUUCCAGCUAAAUCAAUGUGUGAUUGCAGUGUUCAGUCAGCCUUGCUUUAAAAAAAAAAAAAACGCCCAAAAAAACCCCUUAGCUGCAGACAAACAAAAACAACAGCUACAAAUGCAGAGGUGUGACCUCCUCUCUCUCCAACACUGUCCUCCCGCUCAUGGAGACAUUGAUUUCCCAUUCCUCCGUAACACUUUAAGUAUUGAUAAUAUCUAAGGGGAAGAAAGCCGCAGAACAGCCAGCACGGUGGAAAGGCAAAACAUUGGCUUUGCCAAGAAGAACUUGAGUCCCCAUUUUCCCUGAGAACUGCCCUUUCCUUAUGGCAACCUGAAAACCUUUGGCAGUGGGACCAGCUAUUCAUUUAACAGAUCACUGAGUGAGCUAUUUAUGGUUUGGGACUCUUGAUUUGCAAUACAUCAUCAUCUCAUAGCUCAGUUUAAUCUUUUGAUUUCCUUCCAGCUGAAGGGGCUGAGUAGUUGUACAUACCUCUCGUCAAACUAGAAGGUUAGCUAUGCGCGUACCCAUAAGUAAUCUAAGACACCACUGGGCAAAUUCAACGGGAGUUGCUGUGAAACUUUGGAAGUCUGCGGAGUAGUGCCGUGGUAGCGGUAGAAGUAAUCCAAGUAGAAUUAGUUGUACUCGUUGAUAGGAACGCGGCAGUUAUACCAAGAAAACAUUGCCUAUUUCUCCGGUCUAGGCUCUCAAUCCCUUAGCAGUUAGAAAUAACAAUUCUGAGCAUACUGGAGGAGUAAAUAUUCCUGGCCACCAUUGAGAGUGGAGCCGGAGCAAUGGAGAGCACCGCCUGAGAAACUCAAAUGGCACAAAGUGUUCAUGGUGGCUUUUUCAGUGUUCUCUAAAUGCAGAGCAAAUAUCAUCCCAUUCUUUAGAAAUCAUCAUUUCAAAAUGGUUGCAGAUUUUUCAUU
rnacentral:lncRNA from 1 species